UUGUAAAACAUACAGUUACAGUUUGAUUACAUAGACUGUUUACCUAUUCACCUAUAUGGUUUAACUCUUUUUUUUUUCCUCUUCUGGUUCAGAAAUAGCAAGGAUGGAUGUUACAUGUAUUCUCUGCUAAACAAAACAGAGCAAACAAAUUCCUAAAAUCAGCGGCUCCUAACCUGAUACAUUUUGAGAUUUUAGUAAAUGACUUAUUGAUAACAAUUUAAAUGCCAUUAAUAUAUCUAAAUCGGGAUUCUGCUCAGCCGGUAAGGGUGUGUGCUAGACCACCUGAAUUUGGCCUGCCAACCUAUGUAAAGGUGAAAAGAAAGAACUGAUUCCCUUAAGUUGCUCUGUGACCUCCACAUGUGCUCUGUGGCACUCACUCCCACAGAAAUACACACACUAAAUAAAAAAAAUAAUUUUUUUAUAAUUUAAGUAUAUCUCUAAAUUUGAAUAUCAAUACCUGUCUUUCUUGUUUGUUUCUAAACUGAUUCUCUAGUAUAAGCUACAUAGCAAUUAUUACACAAUUAAUGAAAUUAAUUUUGAGGUAUAAUAGCAGUAAUUACUCCCUUUGUUUAUAAAGUACCUUACGAGGCUGAAAGUGGCUGCAGUGGAGAAGAAGCAAGUUGGCAUUCCAUAGUAUCACAUUAUAGUGUGUUUGCACCUGUUCAGAGGAAAGGGUGAGUUAGUUCCUGAGCGCCCCACAACGCCCCAUAGCUAUGCAGUCAGUUCCAUCUCUGUUCUGCUCUGAGCCAUUUAACCUCUCUUAACCUUGGUUUCCUUAUUUAGAGGAAGUGCCUGUUGAACCUUACCUAAAUCAUAAAGUGACUGCCAGUAAUUGUUUACUGAGAUUUCUAGGAAAGGCUAAUGGAAACCGUCAAGUAUAAAUGAAAGAGUUAUAACUGCUCUCCUCCCUCAGGAAUUCCAGUUCACACUGAACCUCUAUCAGGAAUCUGCCUCUCAAAUAGGGGCUAUUUAAAUACACAGAUUAAUCUGUCUAUAAGACUUUUGAUAAGGCUGAUUUCAAUAGUGAAUUAGAUAAAGUGAUUAGAAGUAAGUUUAUAGCUUAAACAUUUUUAUUCCAUUUAAAUAGAAAAAAAGCAGCUUGUUAAUCCAAACCUAAUACACAAAUUCUCAAUAAAUUCGACCAGGUGACUGUGGAAAUGAAUGAUUCUCUUUUAUUACGGAUUUAAGACCAAUCACUUGUCUAGUGUUCAUUCAAACGGCUCGGCCUUCUUUGCAGGAGAGGGAGAACCAUCCUGUGGCUCUUUCUCAGGAGCCCGUCCAGGCAGUCUCACUUUUAAUUAUACAUUUUGACUUUCCAAGAGGGAGGUAUAAGGCACAGCUUUGAAAACUCUAUGUGUAAGUCAAUCCAUUUUUCAAAGAGAACUGAUCAAGCUUGCCAGUAGAUCAGAUUGUGAUAUACUAAGGGCAGCUCAGCUGUGUGUGGGAAAAUGCCGGGAGACGAGGGUGGUAAAAUGUGUAGGGUCAGAAGGACUUUAUAUCCCAUGCCUUGGAAUUCCAAAUGGUUGGGAGCCAUAAAAAACCUUUUAAGAAGUAGAGGAAUAUAAGGCUGUGUUUGAGAGUUCUUAUUCCCUUAUGCUAAUGAAUUCAGCUCCAUAUUGAAGGAUAAUUAGUACACAAAUAUCUCCAGCUAGUCUUUAGUUUCUUACUACAUUUAGUUUGGAAAUAUAUUGAAAGACAUGUAAAUUAGUGACUUCCUCAUUGCUAUUUAUUCUGCAAUUCAGUUUUUCUUGGUGUCUUUAUUUUGUUUUUAUUUAUUGUUUAUUUUAGUUAUAUACUUCUGAGGCAGAAAGACUGGCCUCAACCUUGCUACCAUUUGCCACAGCCUCCCAAGGAACUAAAACUGCUAGGCAGAUGUAGUUAGUAUUUAUAGCAUCAUGUGUUCCUUAUUGGUUUUCACAGAAGCAGCUUUCGAGUUCUCCCUUCCCACCCAGCCCACCCCAACCCUGUGCCAAACAACAACUCAGAUUUGCUCUCACUUUACACUUUGCUAAUAAUUCCUGCCAAAGUCUGGGUUGUAGUUUGGUAUUAAAGCACAUAAAUUUUGGGUAUGAGUUAGGUUGCUUGCACC
rnacentral:lncRNA from 1 species